AUUUCUGAAGAAAGGUCAACUGCAGAGAAUUUGGGAUGGCAAAAUCUUCAAGAAACACACGCUUCAGUUUCUCUAAACUCAGGAGAAAUCCAUCAGCAGCUGACAGGAGGUUCUGCAUGACGUGGAUCAGCACGAUGGUAAAAAGACAAGUGGAGAAGCAAACUGCAGAACUGCGUAGAGAGUUUUCUCUCAUGAAUCAGGCCCUGAGAGAGGAGAUGGCAGCUGAGCUUCAGGAACAGCUGAGAGAACUAUUGUUGGAAGAAACAGACAAGACACCAUUGUGCUGCAGCAAGCUGGGCUCGGACCUGAGGUUGGCGUCGAGGUGGCAAAGGGAAAUGGCGGGAGGAUUCGAAAACACUGACGAAGACUACGAAGAUGGGGAGAUACCAAAAACAUUAGCCUUUUCUGAAACACAAUGACACAAACAGCAUGUUCAUAUUGAGAAAAAGCCUGAAAGAGGAAUCCUUAAAGAUUUCAUUGACCAGUGAUUCCAGUGACACUGACUCAACAGAAAACAGAAACAUCUCCAAAGAUGUACAAGGGAAGCCAGACUCAGGUACAUGCAAGCAACAGAAAAAUCAGAGCUCUUCCUCAGAUGUCACUCCUAUCUGGGACAGCGCCGCUAAUCACUUCUGCACUACGCAAAGCUUCAUUUCCAGUGAAUUCAGCCAUGAGAGUAAGGAUGAUAGUGGAAGAGAGGCUUUGAUGAUGGACAACCAGUGGAAGGAAUGGUUGGACAAGCAGGAAAUGAAAGGAUACAGCCACAAAAAAAAGCCAGUUAAAAGUCAAAACAAUAUGGAAAAACAGGGAACGGCAGCAUCUGGUGUACCAGAGGGAAAAAAAGGAUCAAAACUUGAAAAGGGGUGACACAAUGAAGAGAUUUAAGACAUAUAUCAGUGAUGUCUUUAGCUCUCAUGCAUCGCAUAAGUGGAAGAAGUUUGAAAAUGAAGAUGCUUCCAUGUUUCCUGCGUGCAGACUCUCGUGUUUUAUUAGUAUUAUUAUAAAAACAAAAAAAUAACUGAUAAAAACUGAGCAUACAAUAAACUAACUUGUGCAUUACGAGUAUAGUC